UCUCUUGCCUCAGCCUCCUGAGUAGCUGGGAUUACAGAUCUCAGCAGCCUGGAGGUGAAUGAGGUGUACGUGUCACAUUUGGAGCCAUGGCAACCAUCCUGUGACCAUGAGGACACAAGUCUAAAGGGAAAGGAGGUUAGAUAAAGCUAGAUUUCCAUCUGAAAAGGGAGAUGGAGGGGAAAUAUGGACAAUAACACAUGAAGUGAGAGUCAGAAAAAAAAUCUGCACAUACAAAUAGAUAUAUAUGGAAGCAUCUCAUAAUGUUAUCGUGGUUCUUUAUGAAGAAUGAAGUUGCAGGACAGCUUCAAUGUCUGGAUGCUGCACAGAACACUUUCCUUUCCACUCUUUUGGGAGUCCACCUACUUAUUUUCAGGUCAUCUCUGCAGGCCUCCAUCCUGCCUGUAGCCUGAUGGAGAUCUGGAUUCCCAUUCCGUCAGAGAAAAGGACAUUCCUUUCCUUGGGUGUAGGAAGCACAUCUCUGGAAUGAAGUUUUUCUUCGGUGGAAGGUCAAAUCGUUCUCUUAAGACCGUCUUCAGGGGAGAAGAGUGAGGAGAAGCCUCUGACUUCUGAGAGGAGUCCAGCAGUUUCCAGGGAAGCCAGUUCCAUAUCUGUCUCCAGGGGUGGAGCACAGCCCUGUGUUCAGCGCAUCAGCCCUG